rnacentral:rRNA from 1 species
UUGAACGCUGGCGGCAUGCCUUACACAUGCAAGUCGAACGGUAACAGGUUAAGCUGCCGAGUGGCGAACGGGUGAGUAAUGUAUCGGAACGUGCCCAGUCGUGGGGGAUAACUGCUCGAAAGAGCAGCUAAUACCGCAUACGACCUGAGGGUGAAAGCGGGGGAUCGCAAGACCUCGCGCGAUUGGAGCGGCCGAUAUCAGAUUAGGUAGUUGGUGAGGUAAAGGCUCACCAAGCCGACGAUCUGUAGCUGGUCUGAGAGGACGACCAGCCACACUGGGACUGAGACACGGCCCAGACUCCUACGGGAGGCAGCAGUGGGGAAUUUUGGACAAUGGGCGCAAGCCUGAUCCAGCCAUGCCGCGUGCGGGAAGAAGGCCUUCGGGUUGUAAACCGCUUUUGUCAGGGAAGAAAAGGUUCUGGCUAAUACCUGGGACUCAUGACGGUACCUGAAGAAUAAGCACCGGCUAACUACGUG